GCGUUAAAGGUGGCUAAGUGGGCCAAUUAACCACUUAAGCUGCACCUGGAGGAGGAGCCAGCGAGCAACUAAUUAAAGGAUUAAGCUCAGCUGGGUAGGAACAGGCAGAGCUUGUGAGAAACAGAUAGCUGAGAGCAGGCAGGGCUGGAGGAAGGAGAUCUGCAGUCACUCUCUCUGUGGCUGGGGAUCGUAGAAACAGGAAGCAGUCUAGGGAAACAGCUGCAAAGGGAGGAUAGUGCAGACCUUAGCUGCUGGUUGUGUGGGUCCCUGGGCUGGAACUUGGAGAAGAGAGGGCCUGGGAUCCCCUAACAGCUAGUGGAGAAGUAACACUAUUGAGAUGCAGUGAAUUGGAAGCCUGUGUGGAAUGGCUGGUACAGAAAGACUUUGGUACACAAACCCCCAUCCCCAGAAGGGGAAAACUGCAGUGACCUGUCUGGAAGACAGGGGUUGAGCCUUGUGAGGGAAAGAGACAGAGUGAGCACCUGCAGGAAGGGGCAUCAGACUGAAUGACCUUCUCCCCAGCCGUGGCUAUAAGGGGAGGGUUUCUGGUGGUUCUGCACUUUGGGACAAACUCUGCUUCCAGUUAUGCUCAAGCAGUUUCAUGGCACUUCAUGCAAUUGUCUAUAGCAGUGGUUCUCAACAAGGGGUAAAUGUACCCCUGGGGGUACGCAGAGGUCUUCCGGGGGUACAGUAACUCAUCUAGAUAUUUGCUUAGUUUUACAACAGGCAAUUGCACAGUCAGUGCAACUAAAAUUUCAUACAGACAAUGGCUUUAGACUGCUCUAUAUACUAUACACUGAAAUGCUUUGCAUGUGUCUUUCGUCUCCUUCAAUACACUGAAGAUGCCUAACAGAAGAAACGAAUCUACAGUAUCUUCUGAGUACAUGUGGUUCAGCAUAUUCUCCAACAAAUAGCCCAGCAUGAACUUUUUCAACAAAUUCAAAUGAAAUAGAGCUUGCAUAUAACAUAGCAAGGGUUAAGUCCCUAAUUUCUCCCAUAACUUAAAUUAACUAGCUUUCCUUAUUUGAAUAAGAUGUUGACCUAUUUGAAGUCGGAAUUCUAGGAAGAGAAACUUCUCCAGAGCAACCUGAUUUAAAAUAUUAAUGCUCCUUUGCUGCAAAAUGAGCUUCUUAACAGACACAGUUUAAAUUAGGGCCAGAUUUUCAGAAGUGAUCAGCUCCUGCUCCAAAAAUGCCAUGUACUUUUAAUGACAAUGUGAAUCUGGCCAUUUGAUUUAGGUGUGUAAAUUAGAUCUGUCUGGAGCUGAGCUUUUCUCAAAAUCUAGCCUUUAAACUUUUGUUCUUUCCCUUUAAUAAGGCGAUUCAGCCAUUUUAUUAAACAAGAUACCCCUGUAAUUGAUUGUGGUUGUCCAUGACAGAGACUUUUUGUAACUGUUUUGAAUUUGUCUAAAUGCUGGUAUACUAAUUUACCGGGUAAACCAAACCAUCCAUCUAACUUUAAAAAAUGCUCAUUUCUCUUACAAUAAAAACAUGAGUUGCCAAUGCAUACGAGCAGACUAACAAAAUAUAGUAUGUAAAAUGGAUAAGAAAAUCAAAAUACAAUGUCACACAGUAUCACACUGGAUUUCAAAAGCAAUCUACUAGCAGGCGCUACAGGAAAAAAGGAAUAAAAGCAACAAAUGAAUGGCUUAAUCUAAAGGCUACUGAAGUCAGUGGGAGUCCAAAAGGCUUUGAAUCAAACCACAAAACAAGCUAACUACAGUAAUUGAAAAGAAAGAUAAUAUAAAUUGGAGCGCCAUGUGAUAAAGCACUGACUUGUAGUUUGACUAGCCCCUGGUAAUGAGGCCAUCUUAUAUUUAUGCCCAUAAAUCCUUUAUUACAUCACAGAUUCAUUAAAUACAACUUUGCAUGUAUUGUAUGCCAAAUAUUCAAGCUGGCAGAACAGCUGUAGGAGCAGUUUAUUCAGGGACUGCUGCACUAGGAAGGGAGAGGUCAAAGGAGAUCCUGCUGCUGUGGCCAACCCUCUCCCUGCAGCAUCUCCCAGACCCAGAAAUGUGCAAAACACUCCUCUGUCCCCUGCCAUGUGGCUUUAAGAAAAGAAACUGCAAGGAAGCACCAGCUAGAAGCCAAACCCAGCAGAGAAGCAUCUAAAGCUGGGACUGAUGGACACUGAUAGGAUUUUCCACAAUUUUUACUGGAUUGUCUCUGCCCUGUGCUGACUGGUAGUUUGCUCCAAUCCCAUACUGCCCCGUCUCAAUCUCUUCACCUCAAUCUCACUCCACAUUGCCUGCCACUCAUAUCUUCCUCUUCAUCCCUGCUCUGACCCCUCACUUCUCUCCUUUUCCUUGCCUUGUCUUUCUGUGUAGCUAAUCUUCUAACACAUCCACUCUCCCACCCUCAAAAAUGGCAGAACUAACAUGCCCGUUGUCACCAUCACAUUGAUUGCUCUGCUUAUGUGUUCUUAUCCUUUCCGCUACUCCCUGCCUCUCUUGUCUAUUUAGAAUGUAAGCUCUUCAGGGUAGGGACUCUAUUACUAGUGUUUGUACAGGACUAGCACAAUGGGACUAUAGUAUUGGUUGGUCCAUUGAUGCUACAACAAAUAACAUGCCUUACAAUUAUCUAUCAGAGGAAACGCUGCAAGAAGAAACUCACAGGGGGGCUUCCUUUUCAUGGGCCGCCUCCCACCAGACUUUCUGUGGAAGGGAUGAUCUCAUCAUGGUGAGAUCUAUUAAAAGUACAAACAUCUCACAAGAUCAGUGGUUAAAUCUCAUAUCUUCAGCCAUUUAAGCUGUACAAAUAGCUUAGAGUGCAGUCCUUCAUUGGUAGUGAACUAGAUGACCUAAUAAGUUGUUUCCAUUUCUAAUGUCUAAAAUCCUUUGAUUUGCCUCACCUAGAAAUCAGAAAGUGCAGUGGCAAUAUUCAAUCUCUUGCAGACAUAGCAAGUGGAAGACAGAGUCCAGACUUGGAUAGAAUCUCCUACUUUUGGCUGUUUAAUGUUGCUUAAACUGAAUUGUUCCAUAAAUGGUUAGACACUCUUGAUAAUGUGACUAUAGCGAUGGAUCUUGGAUAUAUAAAGUGUCACAGAUAUCCUCAUUUAAAUGCAUGUCUGCCAAGAGUCAAUGACCCAUUCCUUAAAAUGUGAUGUAAAGUCAAAAAUCACCAAAAUUCUGCAAAUCUUUGAAAACAUCUGCAGAAUUUGCCAGACCUUUCUGCACACUUCUAAUUGACCUGCAAUUACUUAGUAUAAUUUUCCAUUAUGCACUUUUUAAAAACUUACUAUGUAGUCUAAAGUGUUUCUGCCAUAUUCUGGAAACAUUGGAAUAUUCCCCAUAAUUCUCUUUAAAAUCAGAAUUUCCCAACACCAUUUACCAAGUUUUUCAAUAUUUUCCCAGUGGUCUUACCCAUUAACUUCUUAUUGCUCACUUACAGCUUUUCAGGACUCUCACUUGUACCGAUCAUCAUUCUUCCAUAAAUUCCUGUGCAGCAAAGACCAAGGCUUCUGAUUGUAUCAGGAAAUCUCUGUGCAUAUCCUUUCUGCUGUUGGAACACUGCACCAUUCCUAAGCCACUAAUAAAACUUGUAGUAGAAUCCUCUUCUGCAAGUCCAUUUAAUUUCAUGUUCUCAGUCUUCAGGUUUCUUGAUUUAUCCUUCCUUGGACUGUUUCUUUCUCCUUCAUAUGAAGACAGCCCUUUUGAUGUUACCCGCAAUAUCCACAGACUCUAUGGGUUUUAAUCUCUUGUCUUGCUUCAGGUUUCAGAGCUUCUCUCCCUUUUGCCCCCCACACAUUGAUCAAGAGCUCCCUAGUGAAAGAUCUAGAUGCCUGUUUAACUACCGUACUCAGUGUUUCAAAAUCGUUCGUCAGGACUUGGAUUGUGGCCAUCAGAAUCUGGAUAUUUUGGGUCAUGCAGUUACUCCCAUACUUUCUUCACCCCCUGCAUCUGGAAGACAGAUAAAUCCUCCAGUAUCUUGUUUAAUCUUAUCUCAUAUUAAUUUUAGUUAUGAGGAUAAGUUAAGAGCUGAUUCCUGGCUAUUAAGCUGAGUGAAGCUGAACUGGAUUCAGGGGUCUGUGACGUGUUGCGUUACCACAAAAUGGCGUUUGAGCAACAUGUCCCGAGAUUGCUGGGAUGGUAAACUGUGCUAUCAAGAUCUUUACUAUAUUCUAAACUUCCUUGACUCAUAGUAGGCUUGGCCAUUGUCAUUCUAAUAAGUUAGCCCUGUGCCUGUCUAUAUUAGCUCUUAGUCAAAUGCAUGAGCCAUUUGCAUGAUUGUCAGUGCAAACUUCCAUUACUAAAACCCAUUAAAUUCCAAGGCUUUCAUUGUCAUAAAUGACAGCUGCAUUGUCCUAAAUAUGCAUCCUGUGCUGCUGAGUAGCCCAACUGUUAGGGCCUCCAGAGGAGUCUAUGCAUUCAACUCAUUGCUAUUAAUUCACUGGGCUCCUUCCCUUCAUUUCACAUUAUUAGCACAAUUCACUGAAUGUAACUAUGUUACAUUCAAACAAUUAAACCCUUUUGAACGGGGGGGAUGUCGUGGUGUUGCAGAUGCCUACAUCUGCUCAUAUUCAGGUUUUUAUCUCCAUACAAUCACCCAUCCUUGUUUUGGGGGUUGUUGUUUUUUUAAAGUACACGGGGCAGAGCCUAAGCUGCUGUAAAUCAGUGUAGCUCCAUUGACUUCAUUGGAUUUAAACAGGCUGUCAGUCUGGCCCAUAAUAUCCUCCUGAGAAUGGUGGAACUAAGGGGGAUGAGUGUCCCAAAAAUGUAGUCAACAUGUAGUCAACAAGUGAAUAUUUAGGAGCAGAAUGAAAAUAUUCUACUUGUCUAUUCUGUUAAUUAGCAAUGAUGAAAUAGCUCACAUGUAUCUUCUGCCAUAUGAUGCAAACAGUGCUUUAAUCGCCUGACAACAGGUAAGCUACUGAACCCAGUGGCAGUUGUCAGAGGACCGAGAUGUGUAGGGUGGAGUCCAGAAGGUGACAAAAAGACAGUGGAGAAGCAAGAUGGCCAAUAAGGGCUGAGCAAAGAGAAAAUGGUGAAGGAAAGGAAGGGUGACAGAAAAUGGAAGGAAAGGGGACAGAAGCAGAGAACAGCACAGGGGAAAGAAAGACGGGAGAGCUAGAGACAAAUGUAAGACCCCCUGCCUGAAAUAGGACCUCUUGUCAGUUUGUUUUGGGAAGAAAGGAAUAGAAAUUGAAUAAGAACUCAACCGCAGUAAAAAUGGUAGGAAACCGUACAGCUAAAAUGAGCCACCGAAGAAAGGCUAUUCGUUUCCAUUAGUGGAAGGGAAACAUCAUGACAAAGGAAAGAAAAUAUUGAUAUGUAGUUAUGUAUGAUGUGGGUACACAGAAUCACUGGUAAACAAAAUGCUAGUCUCAAACUAUCCUAAAUUUAGUGAGAUGCAAACUCAGUGUUAUGUAUCAUGCUUUGCUCAUUCAACAACAAAAUCUUUAAAUAGUUUUAAUUAAACUUAGCAUUUUGGGAUAUUUAAAACACUCAUCCAUUUGAAAAAAAAAAUGGGAAAAUAACAUAGGGUGAACUCCUGGACCUAUUGGCGUCUAUGGGAGUUUAAAAUUCCUUUGAAAUAAAGGGGAAGAGACUUUAUGCACUACAUAGUCUCUGGUUAUGAUGAUUUUUAGGGUAGUAUUUGACACCAGGGGGCAUCCAUUAAUGAAAUUUUUAAAAAUAUUGAGAAUUACAACUUUUUUUUUUAAGCGCUAUAAAGUUAAAAACUAAUGCCUCUAUCCUGGAGGUUACUCUGUAGUUUUGGAUCAUUGUGAUUCCCCCCCCGGCCAGUCGGCAGUGGGAUAAGGGAGAGGGGACUUCACAGAAUUGUGACAAAUUGCGAUGACAAGGCCAAGUGAGUAGCUUGUAAUUCAGAGGAAUGAAGUGAAAUCAUUGGGAGGGCAAAAAAGACAGUGUUUAUACAAUUGCUUUGUUGGUAUAAACAUACAUCUCCAAGGUGGCUGUAUGAUUUCAUUUCGAGAUGGGGAACAACUCCUUGGGUCAUCCCAUCUCUGUUUUUCAUAAUACUUCUACUAGUGUUUUGUCCAGUCUAGGUUUAAAUGUGUCACUUGGAGGGACUUUCUAACCCUUUAUUUAGGAGAAUAUCCCAUGAGCUUAUAAAUCAAUGUGAGGUAGUUUUUCCUGGUACUCAGACAUUCUUAAUUUUAUUCUGUUCUCACUUACAUCCUUUUGUAUUCUCCAAAUAUUUCUUUUCCUUGGUGAUAUGAAUACCCAUCAAAUAUUUGUAGGUUGUCACCCAUAGUCAUCACUGAACCAGUCUACAUUUAUUUUAAUCUCUCCUCGUAGUAAGUGACUCCCUGCUGCCCCUCAGACAUUUUGAAUGUUCAUUAAACUCAUUCCAACUUGUCAAUCUUUCUAGAGGUGUCCAGAAAUGAACAGAAAACAGUAAGAAAGACAUGAUCAUAUAAAUAUUCUUGGAUCUGAUUCUUCCUCAUGUAUAAUAGAGUAAUUCUUGCUAACCGUGGUAGGAGUCAAUCUUAUUUUGGAAAGGGAGUUUCAUUAAUUUAUUUAACUGAAAGCAUGUUAAAUUUUCACCAUGAAUCUCUCCUAAUGGCUCUUCAAAAUUCAGUAAUGAAAACUCAGAGCAAAAACCAGGCAUUAGUUGUAACAAUAGAGAAAUAUAAGUAGAUGCAGCAUUUUGCCCCAAAAGUUUACAAUCUAAAUUAGUCAUACCAUAUACUAGGUAAGUAUUCAAAAAAGUAAAGGGGUGCAGACACCAUUAUUUCCAUUACUGUAGCAUCUAGGAGUCUUAGUCAAGGACUGUGCUAGAUGCACUCCAAAAACAAGAACAAAAGGUGGUCCCAGCCCCAAAAAGCUUACAAUCUAAGUAUCCGACAAGUAACUACUGAUACAGACAGGCAGAUGGGGAGAGUAAAGGAAACGAUGAGUCUUUAUUGGCCAUCCUGAUUGGCAGUGGUCUCAGCACACUGGCAGCCUAACUGUUGCCAAGUUUUUUUUGGUAAGCAUUAUGGCAAAGGAGGGUUUUAAAGAGAAAUGCGUAGAAGGAUAACAUGGAACUGUAGAUAAGAUCUGUGUUAGGAAGGGUUGCACACGCAAGAGGAAAGAUUUCUCUUGACUCAUAAGAAAUGGGAGGGAAUGCCAAACAUGGGCUGGCAUGCUAACACCUGGGUGAGAAAAGAUAAAAGAGUAGUUAUAUUGAGGAAGGUUCUGAGAGAGGAGUGAGUGAGCAUAUUCUUUAAGGGCAUGAUCCCAAAUCCAUUGAUACCAAUGGAAGUAUUCAUUAACUUUGGUGAGAUUUGGAUCAAGCCCUAAACACACAACUUGUAUACUAUGGGUGAAAUUCUGGGCCCACUGAAGUCAAUUGGCAUUUUGCUAGAAUUUCCUGCUAUGUGUAUAUAUUGUAAGUCCAAUAACAAGUUGUGCCUAAAACAGCUGACUAAUGUGAUUAAGCACCUCCAAAUUCUGGGCCUGAUUCUGAUCUUGUCACACUGAUUUUACACUAGAAUAACUCAACUGAUUUUAAAAAACAAGCCUAUAAUUGGAAAAAAAUCAUUUCUUCAAAACACUUCUUUAAAUGGUUACGAAGGCAACUGUGUAUCAGAACCUCAAUUAUCAAAUGUCUUUUAUCAAAUAUUGCUUUAUCAUACCACCUAAAUUAAAAUCUUCUGUUGAAAGACCCUAAAUACGUUUUAGAGCCACAGUCAGUCAA